rnacentral:rRNA from 1 species
GCUCAACCGAGGAAGUGCUUCGAAAACUGGUAAACUUGAGUGCAGAAGAGGAAAGUGGAACUCCAUGUGUAGCGGUGGAAUGCGUAGAUAUAUGGAAGAACACCAGUGGCGAAGGCGGCUUUCUGGUCUGUAACUGACGCUGAGAUUCGAAAGCAUGGGUAGCAAACAGGAUUAGAUACCCUGGUAGUCCAUGCCGUAAACGAUGAGUGCUAAGUGUUGGAGGGUUUCCGCCCUUCAGUGCUGCAGCUAACGCAUUAAGCACUCCGCCUGGGGAGUACGACCGCAAGGUUGAAACUCAAAGGAAUUGACGGGGGCCCGCACAAGCGGUGGAGCAUGUGGUUCAAUUCGAAGCAACGCGAAGAACCUUACCAGGUCUUGACAUACCAUGAAAAGCUUAGAGAUAAGUCUUUCCCUUCGGGGACAUGGAUACAGGUGGUGCAUGGUUGUCGUCAGCUCGUGUCGUGAGAUGUUGGGUUAAGUCCCGCAACGAGCGCAACCCUUAUUAUCAGUUGCCAGCAUUCAGUUGGGCACUCUGGUGAGACUGCCGGUGACAAACCGGAGGAAGGUGGGGACGACGUCAAAUCAUCAUGCCCCUUAUGACCUGGGCUACACACGUGCUACAAUGGUCGGUACAACG